ACGGAAUAGAUACCCAGGUAGUCCACGCCCUAAACGAUGAUUACUCGACAUACGCGAUACACAGUGUGUGUCUGAGCGAAAGCAUUAAGUAAUCCACCUGGGAAGUACGUCCGCAAGGAUGAAACUCAAAGGAAUUGACGGGGGUCCGCACAAGCGGUGGAGUAUGUGGUUUAAUUCGAUGAUACGCGAGGAACCUUACCUGGGCUAGAAUGCUAUCUGACUGUACCUGAAAGGGUAUUUGUAGCAAUACACAGAUAGUAAGGUGCUGCAUGGCUGUCGUCAGCUCGUGCCGUGAGGUGUUGGGUUAAGUCCCGCAACGAGCGCAACCCCCAUCUUCAGUUGCCAGCACGUAAUGGUGGGAACUCUGAAGAAACUGCCGUCGUAAGACGCGAGGAAGGAGGGGAUGAUGUCAAGUCAUCAUGGCCUUUAUGCCCAGGGCUACACACGUACUACAAUGGGGAGGACAAAGGGCAGCGACCUGGUAACAGGAAGCAAAUCUCAAAAACCUCUUCUCAGUUCAGA
rnacentral:rRNA from 1 species